rnacentral:rRNA from 1 species
UACGUAGGGUGCGAGCGUUGUCCGGAAUUAUUGGGCGUAAAGAGCUCGUAGGCGGUCUGUCGCGUCUGCUGUGAAAUCCCGAGGCUCAACCUCGGGCUUGCAGUGGGUACGGGCAGGCUAGAGUGCGGUAGGGGAGACUGGAAUUCCUGGUGUAGCGGUGAAAUGCGCAGAUAUCAGGAGGAACACCGAUGGCGAAGGCAGGUCUCUGGGCCACUACUGACGCUGAGAAGCGAAAGCGUGGGGAGCGAACAGG